rnacentral:rRNA from 1 species
AACGAACGCUGGCGGCAUGCCUAACACAUGCAAGUCGAACGAGACCUUCGGGUCUAGUGGCGCACGGGUGCGUAACGCGUGGGAACCUGCCCUUAGGUUCGGAAUAACUCCCCGAAAGGGGUGCUAAUACCGGAUAAUGUCUUCGGACCAAAGAUUUAUCGCCUGUGGAUGGGCCCGCGUUGGAUUAGCUAGUUGGUAGGGUAAAAGCCUACCAAGGCGCCGAUACAUAGCUGGUCUGAGAGGAUGAUCAGACACACUGGGACUGAGACACGGCCCAGACUCCUACGGGAGGGAGGAGUGGGGAAUAUUGGACAGUGGGCGAAAGCCUGAUCCAGCAAUGCCGCGUGAGUGAUGAAGGCCUUAGGGUUGUAAAGCUCUUUUACCCGGGAUGAUAAUGACAGUACCGGGAGAAUAAGCUCCGGCUAACUCCGUG